GCCGAAAUAGCUCAGUUGAGACAGCGUUAGACUAAAGAUCUAAAGGUCCCUGUUUCGAUCCCGGGUUUCGGCA